rnacentral:rRNA from 1 species
UUGGGAGGAAAACCUGCCGGUCAAUACCCGGUAGCUUGACAUUACCUUUAGAAGAAGCACCGGCUAACUCCGUGCCAGCAGCCGCGGUAAUACGGAGGGUGCGAGCGUUAAUCGGAAUUACUGGGCGUAAAGCGUGCGUAGGUGGUUCGUUAAGUCAGAUGUGAAAGCCCUGGGCUCAACCUGGGAACUGCAUUUGAAACUGGCGGACUAGAGUUUAGUAGAGGGGAGUGGAAUUUCAGGUGUAGCGGUGAAAUGCGUAGAUAUCUGAAGGAACACCAGUGGCGAAGGCGACUCCCUGGACUAAAGCUGACGCUGAGGUACGAAAGCGUGGGUAGCAAACAGGAUUAGAUACCCUGGUAGUCCACGCCGUAAACGAUGUCGACUAGCCGUUGGUCCUAUAUACAGGAUUAGUGGCGCAGCUAACGCAUUAAGUCGACCGCCUGGGGAGUACGGCCGCAAGGUUAAAACUCAAAGG